CCACAUAAAACUAAAGCUAGAAGAAGCCAAUUUAUCAGCACCAACGAAUUCAACCAUCUUCAUUCACCGGUGAAUCUAACCAUCUUCGUUCACCGGUGAAUCUAACCAUCAUUCACCAGCGAUUCAUACUAUCUUCGUUGACUGGCGAUUACGCCAACUUCGUUCAUCAAUUUCAGUCAGUUCAAUAUUCGGAGCUCCCGACAACACUUUACAUUUUCGUCACCACCGUUUGCUGGAAAAGAGAUCUUGACAUCUUGUACAAGCUAUGUUCAGUUCUCCUCUCAAACCGGUCUCAAUUGCUCAAUGAAACCUGAAAGUUUCUCUGACGAAGCCAGCGAUCUAGAAGAGGAUUGAAGACUAUCUGAUGAAUAUGUUAGGAUUUAUGUGCAGUAGUUUUGGUUUGGUACGGGUAGAUUAUGUUAGGAUUUAUGUGCAGUGGUUUUGGUUUGGUAUUUGAUUUCAAAAGAAAAUAUGAAACAUUAAUCUGUUGUUAAUGUAAAGUAAUUAUCCCUU
rnacentral:lncRNA from 1 species